AACGAUUUCUAACUAGCCCGCAGUUCCAAUAAUUGAUAUUUCUUAUAAGUUAUAACCUUUUAAUGAUGUCGAUAUCUGUUGAAUUCGGAUAUUUUUCAACCGUUUAAUACACCUUGGCAAAUUGCAACAACAGGGAGAACUUCAGUUAUAGUCAAUAUUCUUCUCAUAACUUCGACAUCAAUAUGAGGAAUCCCAUAUCAAAUAGAUAAUUCUCGAAGAACAAUUGCCUUUGUCUCUAUUUAUACGGAAAUUGCAAUAAAUUGUUGGGGUUUAAUCACUUGAGACUAUGUUGCAGUUUUUUGCUCCAGAGUCCUACCAAAAUUUGGUCUUUAAGUGACCUUAUUGAGUUCUGAUCUGGAUCCCACUCGGUGAUAUUUUAUACCAAACUCAUAAAAGACGUAUAUCUGUGUCGUAAUAAUUGCGACUCGGACAAAAAGUGAAACGAUUCAGACAUGAUUAAUAUCGACUAGACGUUUAAGUCUAACAACAUUCUAUUUCAAAUUGAUAGAUAAUUAUACGCCAUUUAUCUCUUUAAGUUAUUGUAUUUCAAUAUUAAUGAUGAUUGAAUGGCAAUAAUUGCAAGGGACUCGAACUCACGAGUCCUCUGACCCAAGUCACAUGAUUAAAAUGCGAAUUCAACCUCGAAAUAGAAAGGCUCGUUACUCGACUUGAACUCCAGCAGCUGAAAGACUCAAGAUUUGACUGGGAAUCGUAAAUAGCUCAAUGGAUUUAAUUGAUUUCAAGACCCUUUUAGUAAUCCAGCAUUUUCAUACAAAAAUAAUAAAAUUUUAAUUCGUUAGUUUUGAGAGUUCCUAAUUCAAACAAUCCGGUAUACCUGAAGAAUCAAUUAUCCGGACUGUUUGGAGUAUUAUUGUACUCUCUAUGAUUGAAUGUGGAGAUAAAGGAAGCUAAGGAAGGAUCCGAAGAAAGAAAGCGUGCGAUUCUUUUGUUUUCAUCUAUAGCAGAGCACAAAGGGUAUGCAAGCUAUAUCAAAAUUACGAAAUAUAUAAAGUAUUAUUAUAUCCAUAUUUCUCGAUUUUCGAGCCAUUUAGAGGUUGGUUUUAGUGUAUGGUUUGACGAAGGACAGGGUAUAUACAUUGUCACUACAGUAUUAGAUAUAAUUUCCCGUGAUGAUACCUUCAUAUUAAGCGAUAAAGUACAUAUUUUCCCCUUUUUAAUAUCAUAAUAUGAGAGAGCCGAGGCAGGAGCAUAGCAGAAGUUGUUAAGAAAUCUAUACGUCAAUAACAACGAGUGUCCGAUGUAGACGAACAAAUGCGCAAUAUUCAAAGGGUAUAAGAAGAACUUUUGAUCGGAUAAGUAGACAUUGUUUCAGUUCUAUCAGCAAGGUACGGAGCUAUUACGUUUCUUGGAAGAAGUUCUUAUUAAGUUAAUUCAAAUACAAUUUAACUAUGUCAGAGGACCAUAUGGAUGAUUUUGAUCGCUACAACUUUGAGCAUGACAAGGUUAUGUAUAGUGGGCAUUCGGGUAAACAAAGGAGUAAAAAAAGAGGCAGCUUUAAAUACCAAUCAUCACAAUCCUGGAGGCCAUGAACGGAAACUCUUAACCAAACUACAUAAUAUGGAGUGUAAUAAAAAGAAGACGUAGUAUCGGGCAUCGGCUCUUCUACGUCGUAAAGCUAGUCUUUUAUUUCUUAAGCUACAUUCCAUUGGUAUUCAAAGUUUGUUACCGUUUUUCCCUGGUCUCGAUAUAAUAUGUAUAGAUUAAAUACACAAAUCCUCUUCAAAAAUACUUUUUUUUGUAAAACAAUAAAAUACAAAAAUCCUUUGUGAAUGAUAGGAUUCUACAAAAAAAUUCAAAUUGGAUCGAAACGUCGUUCAUUAUGUAAUAAUAUUAUUAUUUAUCACAUUAUACCUUGUAAAGUUUCUCAUGUAUACUUUUCGGUUAUUUAUUGAUGAUCGUGAAUGAUAAUAUAUAAUAACUUAAAAACUCUCAAAAA
rnacentral:lncRNA from 1 species